rnacentral:rRNA from 1 species
AGGCAGCAGUGGGGAAUAUUGCACAAUGGGGGAAACCCCUGAUGCAGCCAUGCCGCGUGUGUGAAGAAGGCCUUCGGGUUGUAAAGCACUUUCAGUAGGGAGGAAGGUAGUGUAGUUAACCACCUGCAUUAUUUGACGUUACCUACAGAAGAAGCACCGGCUAACUCCGUGCCAGCAGCCGCGGUAAUACGGAGGGUGCGAGCGUUAAUCGGAAUUACUGGGCGUAAAGCGCAUGCAGGCGGCCUGUUAAGUCAGAUGUGAAAGCCCGGGGCUUAACCUCGGAAUUGCAUUUGAAACUGGCAGGCUAGAGUCUUGUAGAGGGGGUAGAAUUUCAGGUGUAGCGGUGAAAUGCGUAGAGAUCUGAAGGAAUACCAGUGGCGAAGGCGGCCCCCUGGACAAAGACUGACGCUCAGAUCGCGAAAGCGUGGGGAGCAAACCAGGAUUAGAUACCCUCGGUAG